CCUACGGGUGGCAGCAGUGGGGGAUAUUGGUCAAUGGGGGAAACCCUGAUCCAGCGAUGCCGCGUGAGGGAAGAAGGUUUUCGGAUUGUUAACCUUCGUGGAGGGGGACGAUAAUGACGGUACCCCUUUAGGAAGCUACGGCUAACUACGUGCCAGCAGCCGCGGUAAUACGGAGGUGGCGAGCGUUAUCCGGAAUUACUGGGUGUAAAGGGAGUGUAGGCGGGAAAGCAAGUCAGAAGUGAAAACUAUGGGCUUAACCGUAAGCCUGCAUUUGACACUGUGUUUCUUGAGUGAAGUAGAGGCAAGCGGAAUUCGUAGUGUAGCGGUGAAAUGCGUAGAUAUUAGGAAGAACACCAGUGGCGAAGGCGGCUUGCUGGGCUUUUACUGACGCUGAGGCUCGAAAGCGUGGGGAGCAAACAGGAUUAGAUACCCCAGUAGUC
rnacentral:rRNA from 1 species